rnacentral:rRNA from 1 species
ACAGCAGCAGCCGCGGUAAUACGGAGGGUGCAAGCGUUACUCGGAAUUACUGGGCGUAAAGCGUGCGUAGGUGGUGGUUUAAGUCCGUUGUGAAAGCCCUGGGCUCAACCUGGGAAUUGCAGUGGAUACUGGGUCACUAGAGUGUGGUAGAGGAUAGUGGAAUUUCCGGUGUAGCAGUGAAAUGCGUAGAGAUCGGAAGGAACAUCUGUGGCGAAGGCGACUAUCUGGGCCAACACUGACACUGAGGCACGAAAGCGUGGGGAGCAAACAGGAUUAGAUACCCCUGUAGUCCCUGUCUCUUAUAC